AACCCAAACAAUUGUCAUUUUGUCCGGAUCACUGGCCCCGCUUGCAGGGCAACAGUCUGCCGGUGUUUGCCCCCAAUGUGGUGAAUCCCUCUGCUCGACACCACCGUGGGCCCAGACAUUUCCACAGAUGAGCCCCUCCUGUCCCCACCGGGACAAACAUCCUGUCCGCCCCCUCUCUCACCAUCUUCAUCCUGUCGAUAAAAUCCCUCCCCGGGGAACCGGCAUCGAACCGACGGGCCGAGCGGUCUCCUCCUACCUCUCAGCCAUACAUCAGACUCGGGCCGCGGGAGACGCUUCAGAAACGCCCCGACUUCCCUCGGAGGGAAAUGGAAAUAAAUCAGAAAGCGGACAUUUACUUUGAGGUUUUCUCCGCCCUGAGGAGCGGGAGACGGACUCAGCGGGGUAACGCCCACUCGGCCUGUCCGCCUCCGCGACUGGUUGUAACCGGUGACUGACAUCGCUUCGCACCAAUGGGAAUAGCGCAGCUCCUGAUUCCUCUGUUGACAGCGGUGCGGGAGGGGUUGGUCACGUGAUUAUUAGCCCAGCCGUUCAACCGAUAAAGCUCGAGCAGAGCAGCGCGUGGGUGACGUAAGACACCGCGCACGUGAGGGCAGAUCCCGGCGUGGGAAGCCCAUGUGUGACGUCAGGCGCAUGGGAGGAGGAGCUGUGUGACGUCACCUGUGGGAGAGCGCUGGCAUUUAAAAGCACCUUAACGGACCUUUCAGUGGGUCAACAACAUUAAUGACGGGUUUCAUCACUGGAUCCAGUGUUGUGAGAUGUAAAGUCCCCUGUUAUGUGUCCGGCUGUGCCGUGUUGUUGGUGGAGUGGGCAGCGUGGUGUUUGUCUCGAUUCGGGUCACAACACCAGAAUUGCCAGCGGGUCCACACACAGUGUAUUAAUCAACAGAAAACCUCUCGUCCCUGCAGUCUUUGUCUCCUGGUAAACUCAACACCCUGACAGUGUGGACCAUAGAUACCCCUUCCUCUCAGAGUCUGGGGAUCACUCAGACAGCUGAUCGCUGAGAGGAAUUAUAUUUAUUGGUCAUUAAAGUUCACCCGGAUUCGUUUGGACGGAUUUGAUGUGGAGUUCGGGGUGUCACAGUGAAAGGGCCGGACGGCCGAACUCUCUCCGUUGUCCAAACAUCCUUCCAGCCACUAGUGGCGCUGCAUGGACCUCCAGAGAUUGGCGGCGCUGCUUGGACCUCUGGCCCCAGGUGGCGCUGUGCGGCCCUCCGGCCACGGGUGGCGCUGCGGAGAAACGCCUGCUAUACGCACGCGCAGUGCUCUCUGCAGCUGUUUGCAGAUCUCCCAUACGAGCGGGGCCACCUAAAUUGGAACCAAGUAAUCAAGUAUGAAAAAAGAAUGUCUGAUGAACUGUUUCUAAGGCCAGGAAUAUUGCUGAAUAUUCGUCUCAAAAGUGUUAGACCUGCAGUGAGAGAUUUAUUGGAAGAAAAACCACGACUGAAGACGAGGGAACAGCAACAAGUGAACCAGCCCGAGGACUGAGAGCACCGACUGGAGAGAACCCAUCUGACUCGGAGAUUCCAGUGAUUCAGUCAGGAGAAAGAUUGGUGUAUAGAAGAGUCUGAUCUGGGAUCCACGUGUGGUGCGAACUGGGAGACGCUGCCCGAUAGGAUAAUGAUCCUCUUAUCGCGCUCGGUCGCAUCCGUUUCCUCUGGUGAUCGAAAUAACUUUCGCAUAGCCUGGGCUGACGAGAUGCCAUAUUCAUCAACGACUACAACCGCGCUCCGGAUGCACGAAGGAGCAAAACUGCACCUCGACGUCACGGCAAAUUUUAUGCGGGUGGCACGCUUUCUACAUCUCAAAGAGAGACGUAUACAAUGAUGGUGCAUUGAUGCCAGUCAGCACGAUAUCCCGAUAUUUACUUUUAUAUUUCUGUAUCUAGAUCCUGCUCGGUAUUUAAUAACUCACUGUCAUUUAUUCCGAAUAUGUUGUGACGUCAUGGAACGGUAUCUGAUUAUUCAGCGCGCCGGCGGCAGCCCUGGUAGUUGUAGUUAGAGUUGUACAAUCAUGCAAUCCAACAUCGUGCAUUAGCGAAACAAGAAGACGGAUCGAGUAGGACUUCCCGGUCCCAGCGUCACCGGUUAGUAAUAACAUCAUAGACGUGUCCCUGGUGAGAAAGAAUAAAUCUAAUACUCCAUAAGCCCACUCCGUCUGCAUCUGAUGAGCAAACGUCUGUAAGCGGCGCCCCGCUGGGUCACACACGGUGUGUUCAUGCUCAUAGCUCGCUGACAUAACUGAUCGUUAAGUGGUCGUCCAGACACUAGCCAGAUGAGUACGGUUGCCACAGCAGAGAGAUCUAAUAGUGGGCCGACUACAGAGACGCCUUCCCUUGGAUUCGUCAAAUUGCAGGUUGAUUAUGAUAUCAGAAUUGCACAAAUGGCAUAGAUAUACAAACUAUCAUAACUAGGUAUAACCUGUAUUCACCGAUGUAUAUUAUAUAUACCACCUAUUUGUCACCAGGUGUAAACAAUAGUUUGGUAUAACAACACCUAUAAUUUACGCGCUGUAUUUGACAAACUAUUGUCAGGUCUACCACGUCGGAGCUCGGCAGUAUUGGGACAGGUCGAUUCGUCAAAUUGCAGGUCGUGAAGUAAAGCAAGUGUUUGAUCAGCAGAUUAAUGUAGAAGUCUGAGAAUAGCGAUGAACUGUCUGUGCGAUUCCAGGAAUCGCACAGCAUCGGCCGUUGUGUAAAAGGAACAGGUGGAAGCAGAUAGAUGGUCGGGACAAUUGAUAUAUUUCCCCAGAUCGGUGAGUGUCACGUAGGCGUAUGGAACCAUCUGCAUCAGUACGAACCACGAAAUGAAUUCGCAAAAGAUAUUAGGGUACCAAACUGUAAUGAUAUCUUUCGUUGCAUGUAUUAGAUCUCCACUGAGCCCGAUUGCCGCAGAGGGGUCGGGGUCCGUCUGAAAGAGCUGAAAUAUGUAAUGAAUUAGCAAUUGUCUGCCAUCGAACGAGUUAGUCGUGUGUUCCAACGUUUGACGAAACAUUUCAUCAGAUGUAGCUAUCGAACACAUGUUGGAAUAGAAUUCAUUACGGGUCAAGAGGAUAAAUGUAUAUUCAGGUGUAUUUUUGUAUCGAUGCCGUAGAUGUUCGGGUAGCCGUUCCCGGCGCGCCCGUACAACAUCGUUUUCAUUCAGUCGUCUAUUCUGCAUCAGUGAAUCUAUUAAAACCAUUAAAGGCACAUCGUGAAGGGAGUCAUUGAUUACGCGCCCAUUUAGAUCGGUUGGAACCCCUGCCAUAUCAAUGUGCUUUCCCGUAUACGUGUGGAGCCUGAUCUUCAGAAUACGUCAAUUCUUUUACAGUCAUAUGACGCUACGUAAAUAUCAAAGAUUGAUAAACGACCCUGAAUUCGUUGGGCUUUUGAAAUGUAAUAGGAGCUAGCAGCUGCAAGCUCUUCUUCCUUUCAUUUGUAAUACCAGCAACACUUCGCUUUCUGGCAAUGAUACUUUGUGCAAUGGCGGUCGCGUGCACAUUCGCAAUGAUCUGCUUCAUAAGAGCUGUAUAAACAAUAAGCCCACCCGCAGGAGCAGCUGUUAUUAGCGUUCCUAAUGGUUCCAAGUUCAGCGUCAUGAUAACUAUUAAAUUCGUUUAAUAGUUUAAUCACAGUAUCAAGUCAUUUUAAUAUUAAUCUGCGGAAUACAAGCAUGAUUGCAACCGAAGUGCCGCAGAAACUGGUCGCCUCGGUCAUUUGAAAUUUGUGAUAAUACUGGGAAUAGCGAUAGGGAUAGGACACGGAGUGUCCUUACGAAGAAAUAGAGAACACACCCUCUUUACCAACAGGUCGUUUUUUUAUUUUUUGCAAGACUGGAAGAAACCACUGUCAUACCACCGCAUCUAAUGCUUCUUAUAUAAGAUACCAUGAAGAAGAUGUUUACCUGCCUCACCAACGGGUGGUUUGUGUAACUAACGAUAUCUCUCUGUAACAAAUAUGAUGUAAAUACUAAUGGCAAUGCAUUGUAUACAGCAAUCUAACUAUAUACUGGCAACGAUUAACUGCCCAGAAACACCUUAUAGUUCCGGUUGCGCGGAAAGUUCGUGCAUCCCCCCUCUACGGACCCUCCCCCCAGCGGAACACCCCUCGGACGACGGGAAUGGCAUCCCCAACGCCCAGACCAUACACGCUAUCCACUGGGCCAUUAUGCACCCACUCUUCCUCCGCAGACGUCCAUGCACCUGCACAGGCUGUAGUGGCCAUAUUACCCUGCCCGUGGACAGACAACAGACCCCAACACAUCAUCUCCAUACUGUACCAGACGGAUGCAUUUCAGUAGAUGGGUCGUCGACCAAGACAUUCGGAAUCUAUUAAACGAUACUACCGGGAUACUACAGGAAUUAGCCAAGGGGUUAAGGAAACCUAUCACAUCGCUGAUGGAUAAGGGGAAUGUACAGACAUCGUUAGCGGCCUACCGGCGAGGUCAACCUGUUGGACUACCACGGGAACGCCAUACUAGAUUGCUACAAAAAAGCACUCGUGCGUCGUUACCUCACCCGACUAACAGCAACAAAGAGGCAGAAAGCCACACUCGUGUUUUAGGACGAGUCGGACCCACGAUGGGGCACCUUACUAGCAGCGGACUUUCUAUCACGACCGGGACACAAUACCCCCAGUCAGCAAUUCGUCAAUUGCAUCAGAAUUAACAGCAAAUUCGGUUUUUGUCUCCUCCAUAAGUCAGCUAUGUAUCACUUGACCUGCGCCCGCCGUUUACUGUGUGACAUUUUCAACCACCCCGAAACAUCUCUAUCGGGUCUGUACGCGUGCUUAUACCGGAUUCACCUAGAAACGGCAUUGCUCAAUAAGUAAUUGUUCAAUAGAUCGGCUCUCGUUGAUAAGCUAUUACUGUGUAGAUAAAGUAUAUAGACUAAUUUAUAAAGACACGGCACCGUGCCGGUUGUACACAACAACAAUUCAGCUUGGUAUAUGAACUGUAUCAGACGUAUUUAUUAACACAAUGUACCCGCUAAUAGUUAUAAGUAAA